UUUAAUUUUACAUUUACGUCACAGACUCCCGCUAAGUGAAGGUUAAACUUUCUUGUCGCAGCAACUGCAACUGUGCGCCCAAGUCUGCAGUUUUCUGCGCAUUCUACGUCAGCUUCUACCCAGUUUCGGUUGUCAUCGAUAGCAGAACAUCUUUAGAUGGGACCUCUAGAGAAGAAAACAAUUGGUCCAUGAGAAGCUGUACGUAGGAGGAGGCACACGGAUCUUGUCCCAAGCAGCAACAGAUUGAUGGCAGAUUAAGAGAAGCAGAGCUUGGUCCGUAACAAACUGUAUGUGGAAGAAGCAGACAGACUUGAUCCCAACCAGCCAGAAAAGGACACGCAGAUAUAGAUUGCAACCGAUUCUGAAAAGAUGUAUAAAAAAUUAUAUUUUGACGGAAUUGUAAAUUUUCUGCGAUUCUGCAGAUUAACUUAUAACAAUGAAAAACUUUACCUCAAA